AUUGAACGCAGGCGGCAGGCCUAACACAUGCAAGUCGAGCGCGAAAGUUCUUCGGAAUGAGUAAAGCGGCGGACGGGUGAGUAAUACAUGGGAAUCUGCCUGGUAGUGGGGGACAACGUUUCGAAAGGAACGCUAAUACCGCAUACGCCCUACGGGGAAAGGGGGGAUCUUCGGACCUCUCGCUAUCAGAUGAGCCCAUG
rnacentral:rRNA from 1 species